UAACACUUUAGAAAUGUAAAAAUUGCUAUACAAAUGCAAGGUCUUAUUACUCUACUAGGUUGCAGGAUUCAAACAGGCCAGGAGAGUGCAUCUCAAUUGGAAUAAUUUCUGUGAUAACAGCCUUGGGCCAUCUUUGGAAAGAAGGUACCCCGCGAGCUCUGUCCAUUUCCUUGAAUAAGAACUCUUACAAAAUGCAUGAAAGGCAGGCACCAUUAAGCCAUUUGAACUGCAUUUCUCAUUUUUCAGAUACAUCAAUCCAGGAGCCAAAGCCCGGCUUUAGAGAUUUAAAGCUGUUAAAUAGCAUGUAGACCAUCCCUCUCGUUUUAUGGAUGCAGAAACUGAGACCUAUAGCAACUUCAGUGAAGGUCAAAGCUGUAAGAUUUGUCUUCUUACCUUAUAAAAGCAACCCUGCCUCCAUGACAGGUUUGGGCUGAGGUGAUUGUGGUAUAAUGCUCCAUUUCAGAGAGAAAGGAUUCAGCAAGCACCAACCUAAGUGCUCUGUGUGUGUGUGUGUAAUUAGAGGAGGAGAAGAGGGAGCCGGAAAAAUGUCUUAUAAACUCCCUCUCCUUGUGGGGCCCAAAUACUUGCCUGAACUGUGAUAGGUAUGUAAUAAAUAUUUAAGUUGAAUUUUUUUUACUUUGGGA
rnacentral:lncRNA from 1 species